AAAGCCGUGAAAGCCCCACAAAACCAAAUAAAUUGCUGAGCUUUCCAGGCCGAGUAGGUUCCCCAUCCCUGUUCACCUGCAGCCCGCCCUCUUGGACUUUGUUAGUGAACUGUGAAAUGUGGAGUUUGGACGUGUGGGACCGCUCCGAAGGGACACCGGCACGGAGAGCUGGUCUCGGGAGAGGCAGCAAGCUACAGAUAAGAAGUUAUCCAGGACGCUACGGGAGAAGCCUGAUGGAGAGGGGCUUGCGGAUGGGAGCGAGAGAAAACUACAUUUACAGUAAAUAAAAGCAUCACCCACAGAGGAUCUCUCAACUCAGUGACCUUUGAAGUUGCAAGGACACAUGGCCUAGACAGGCCUGUGCACCAGACAAUAACUGCCCAGCUCUCAGAGGGAGAAACAGAAGCCUUGACCUGAAAAGCCACCACAAAACUUAUUGGAGAACACAGCUUUUGGUGGAAAACAAUCAGCAAGUCAGGACACAAAGGACAUUCCUGAGUGCUCUCUGCAUAGGUGAAAGGAAGGAGAUGAGUCUGUGAAUCCUGGAUCAGCUGCUACCCCAGACAUGCUCCAGCACAACCUGUGAAAUGUGCUCCAGAGCAAACCCAAGAUCUUCUCUGGCUUCCAGUAGAAUGACCCAUGUGUGAAAAAUAUCUCCCUCUAUCAAUAAACCCCAAUUAAAAUUUAUCAUAUUCUUCCAUGUGUCCCAUUCAUCAAAGCAUUUCAUUACAUUUACAUUCUUCCUACAAAG